rnacentral:rRNA from 1 species
UACAGAGGGGGCAAGCGUUGUUCGGAAUUACUGGGCGUAAAGGGCGCGUAGGCGGCCUUCUAAGUCGAACGUGAAAUCCCCGGGCUCAACCCGGGAACUGCGUCCGAUACUGGAAGGCUUGAAUCCGGGAGAGGGAUGCGGAAUUCCAGGUGUAGCGGUGAAAUGCGCAGAUAUCAGGAGGAACACCGGUGGCGAAGGCGGAUUCUCUGGGCAUUACCUGACGCUGAGGAGCGAAAGCAUGGGGAGCGAACAGGA